rnacentral:lncRNA from 1 species
AUGGGAAAGGGUGUGCUGUCUCCAUGCAACCUGGGUGGACCCCUCUGGGAGGGAGGCAGAGUCCGGGUGAUCAGGAUUCCUGGCUGGAUUCAUUGAUCAGGAAGCAGAGAUGGCGUUCAGAUGGUUCCAGAAGCCAAGGCCUGACUGUCUCCCUGGGCCUGUGACUUGAAAACAGCCCUGGCUGGCUGCCACCUCUCAUACUGCCUAUUCUGUAAGGUCACACACAGGGUCAUGCCGGCCUCCUGAUGUUCUGCUCACCCCAGAUCAGAGACAGUCAACAUCAUGUUCCCAAGGCCAAAGCCCACUUGGGACUAGUUCUUCUCCAGAAUGACUGUAUCAAGAAACCCCAUGCAGUCAAUUCGUCUUCUAGGUGAUCUGAUUUCAUAGACUGCUGUCCCCACAGACCCACGAUGGCCUCCUCAACAUAAAGUCUGUUCUUCAGAGGCCACCAAUAAGCUGUCUGCUGCCACUUAACUGUUCCAAGCACAGUCAUCAGGUAGUGGCUGCAAACUUCCUGGGGAAGAGCCAGGAUCAAGGACAAAGCUGAGAAUAAGGUCAACCUUCUAGGAAGGCAAUUGAGAGAGAUGAGGACAGGGUAACAAAAUCUGCAAUUGCUAGGAAA